UACGUAGGCAGCAAGCGUUGUUCGGAGGUACUGGGCGUAAAGGGUGUGUAGGCGGUUGUUUAAGUUUGGUGGGAAAUCUCCCGGCUCAACUGGGAGGGUGCGCCGAAUACUGAAUGACUUCGAGUGCGGGAGAGGAUAGUGGAAUUCCUGGUGUAGCGGUGAAAUGCGUAGAUAUCAGGAGGAACACCGGUGGUGUAGACGGCUAUCUGGACCGUAACUGACGCUGAGACACGAAAGCGUGGGUAGCAAACAGG
rnacentral:rRNA from 1 species